rnacentral:rRNA from 1 species
UAUCCUUGUUUGCCAGCGAGUAAUGUCGGGAACUCCAGGGAGACUGCCGGUGAUAAACCGGAGGAAGGUGGGGACGACGUCAAGUCAUCAUGGCCCUUACGAGUAGGGCUACACACGUGCUACAAUGGCGCAUACAGAGGGCAGCGAGCUAGCGAUAGUGAGCGAAUCCCAAAAAGUGCGUCGUAGUCCGGAUUGGAGUCUGCAACUCGACUCCAUGAAGUCGGAAUCGCUAGUAAUCGUAGAUCAGAAUGCUACGGUGAAUACGUUC